rnacentral:rRNA from 1 species
UACGGGGGGGGCAAGCGUUGUUCGGAAUUACUGGGCGUAAAGGGCUCGUAGGUGGCCAACUAAGUCAGACGUGAAAUCCCUCGGCUUAACCGGGGAACUGCGUCUGAUACUGGAUGGCUUGAGUUCGGGAGAGGGAUGCGGAAUUCCAGGUGUAGCGGUGAAAUGCGUAGAUAUCGCUUGGAACGCCAACGGUGAAAACAGGUUGCUGGGGUUGUGCCGACGCUGAGACACGAAAGCCAGGGGAGCAAACGGG